rnacentral:rRNA from 1 species
UACGUAGGCAGCAAGCGUUGUUCGGAGUUACUGGGCGUAAAGAGUGUGUAGGCGGUUCUCUAAGUCUGGUGUGAAAUCUCCCGGCUCAACUGGGAGGGUGCAUUGGGAACUGGAGGGCUCGAGUAUGGGAGAGGAAAGCGGAAUUCCUGGUGUAGCGGUGAAAUGCGUAGAUAUCAAGAGGAACACCUGAGGUGAAGACGGGUUGCUGGGCCAACACUGACGCUGAUGCGCGAAAGCCAGGGGAGCAAACGGG